AACAAACACUGAAUUAUUUGGUUAAAUACAAGGAAAUCUUGCUUCUUUGUUGAUCAAAACAUAUAUAGUAUUCAAUAUAAGAUGGGUAGUAAUGUAAAAAAACUAUUAUAAUUACUAAAUAGCAGGUAAUGGAACUUAUAGCAUGUUUUAUCACUCGAAAAAGAUCGAACUACACUCGAAAAAAAAUGGACCGAAUCACUCGAAAAACCACGAUCCUAGCCGGAC
rnacentral:lncRNA from 1 species